GGGUAUUUAGAUUUCAGACAGAUUUUUUUUAAUGAUGAAGAAUAGCAAAUAGUAGAAAGGAAAUAUUUCCUGUUGCAAGUAAGAUAUGUUAUAUUCUGUGUUACUAGUGGAAGCCAGAUUAAUAUGCUUUGGAAAUCAUGCAAAUGGGUGAUGAGGUUGACAUUCUACUUUGAAAGCUCAUAAGCAUAACCAGUGUUCCAGCCCCAAUGGAAGGUUGUGGCACCAGAGACGGCCUGUAGGAGUCUCUCACAGGCUGGGUUAGGUUCCUUGGAACAACGCUGGGUCUGUUCCAAAUCUUGGACAAGGUCUCUGAUGAAUCUUCAAGUUCCACUCUGUAGAGCAUGGCAGCCCUGCCUUUGUGCCUGUUGGGGUGCAACAUUGCAGAACCCUUGAGAAAGAAAGUUUGAAAAUCCAGAUCCCAUUGGAGAACACCUGCAAAUGCUUCUCCACUUAGCGUCAGCAGGCCAGAGCCUCUUCUCAUCUCCCUUGUCUGGAGGCAGCUCUACCAAAGGUAGAAAAACUCCUAGAGUUCAAGGAAGAGGAAUGAUUUAGGGUAAAAUGGCCCAGCAUGGGUUUCUGGCAGAAUCCCAAAGCUCAGGUCUGGUUGGCACUGCAUUCCUGGGUGAGUGCCUCCGGAGGCUGAGGAGUAGCCACGGCCAUCUCUGCCAGAUUCCUCUGUAAUGAAGUCAGCUGUCAACUCCUUGGGGGGAAAAGCACAGAGCCCCUUUAUUUCCAAGCAGGUGUUGCAGCAUAUUAAAGGUUGAAUUCCAUCUUGUGCUCACAUCCUGAAUGAGCCAGUUUGCAGGCAAGCUCGGUUCUUUCUGCAAAGAGGGAAACUUGGCAAUGGUGAAGGCUGAGUACUUAAAUGGCAAUCAACUUCUGGCUCAUAUCAAUUAAUUCCUUCAUGGACUUCUGCCUAAGUAUAGCAUCUUGAAUUCCCAGCUGCAGAGGCUAUGAAAAACAGCCCAAACAACACACGCCACGAUCCAGGGCGGGCAUACCGGUGAAAUGAUGAUGGGUGAUGAUAUCUUACGGCAACAAUGGACACCUAUUGGGGGCUCUCUCUUUGUUUACCUGGAGAAUACAGGGCAGGACAUACACCCCUUUCUCUGGCUGGGAAAUUCUUCAAGAAAACUUUUAUUAUGACUAAGUGAAACCAUUCUGAGGGGAAUCACCUCCUUUCAGCUUUAAAAUAUCCAGAUCCAAAAUGACCGUGAGAUGUGGAAGCAGACCGGGGACUAGGAAAUCAGAGAAGGAUUUUGUUGUCACUCAGACACCUGGAAAGCCUAUUCAAAAAAUGGUCCUCAUCCCAAGGAACCUACUAGACUCCUCUCCAUCUCUCUCUAACAUGAACAAGGAGCAUCUUGAUCAAGAGCUGCAGACAGACUGAGGGAAAAUGAAGUGACACUUUAAUCUACAACAUCCAGCCCCCCAUCUUAUAUCUUAUGGAAUGAGGAUUUAGGAGAUUCAGCCUCUCUCUGUUGAUGGUAACUUCAGAGCUCCAAGGACGAAUCUCCACUCAAAGGCAAGAACACAGAAUAAAAACAGACGCUUUCGACCUAGAAAAAUUAUACAAUGAAAAGGGAGAAAAUGAACCUAAUAUGCAAAAAAAAUAUGAGAGAUAAAAAAACGUAAUUUGAAGUAAAUUUUACAGCAGAAGACACACACAAAAAGUAUACAACUCCAUCAUGCUCCUAAGAAAAGGAAAGGAAAAGUGAACUUAUCAAACAAGAAAUGGGAGAAGAUAACAAAAUGAAAAGGGACCUGGACAGAUCUAACUCCUCUGAUUUUUUUUCUUUUAUUUCUUUUGAACAUCGGUGAGGACCUAAGGUGGAAAUAUGUGUCUAUUUUGGGCUGGAGUAGUUAAGAAACAGAGAUGCUCUUCCCCAGGUCCAGGACUUCAUGAAACAGGGGGUGACAGCUUCCUGUUUUCUUCAUUCUUUUUGGCUCUGAGCUCGUGCUGUUGCUGAAGCAGAAAGCAUCCCUGAAGGCACUGGAGAUUUGAGGAAAUCGCAGGAAGAAUGACACUUCAAUUCCACAGAAAAGAAAAAUCCAAAUGAAUGUUAGAUUUUCCUAAAAUGUCUCAAAAUGUCCCUCUGCCACUUUUACAGCUCCAUCUCUAAUCUCUGAAUAUCUGCACUUUGGCCAUCUCUUUGGUCUACUUGUCUCUUGUCAAUCAUGAGUUUGGUGUCACACUGUCCAACUUUGAGCAAUAUAUUAAGAUAUUUUCCUAAUUGUAUUGUAUUUAUUGUUUUUCUUUAUAUAGUUG
rnacentral:lncRNA from 1 species